GCCGGCGCCUCGGAGCGACCGUUGGGCGGCGGGGCGGGGCCUUGUGGGGUGGGGCCUGGCUCUGGCCGCGGGGGAAGCUUCUCGGCGCUCUUCGCGCUGGCCUGCCAGCCCUGCCAUCGUAGGCCUGCAGAGCGCCUGGAGGCCCUGCCCUGGCCCGGGAGCAUUGUGAGCUAGGACGGGACUGCUAGGAGACAGACGCAGCUCCGCAGAGACCCGAGUCCGAAAGAGGCCAGGCAGAAAAAGUGAACGACUCUAAGACACCAGCCUAUCAGACCACACAGCCUCCAUAAGCUCGGCCUCCGACCACCGAUAGUAGAGCUUUUUGAUCCACUCCCUCCCCAACCAAAAAAUGCUACAGAACUAAAUAUUAAUGACUAAGACAGGCUAGAGAGAUGCCUCAGAGGGGAAAGGUGCUUUGCCUCCAAGUUUGAUGACCUGAGGUGGAAGAAAAGAACCAACUCCCUCAAGUUGACUCCAGCUGCCACACAAGUACAAUGGUGUGCGCGCACACACACACAGUUUUUUAAACGCACAUUUGUACAGUGAGAAGAAGCAGAAACUGUAAGAUAGGAAAACUGAUACUGAGUCUGAAGAAGAGAGUAAGUGACUAGCAAGUGGAGUGAUGUAGGCACCAGAGGAGUUGCAGAAGGAAGAGAGAAAAGAGACCACCUGAAGAAGAGCUGGAAACAAGACCUAACAUCCAGUAAGCUAAAGAACUCUUAGCAAGAUGACCCCAAAGCUACCUAGUCACAUGUCAUCAAACUGUCAAAAGAGUCUUGGGAGCAGCAAGAAAUAAGUAGCUUUGUCAUGUACAAGGAGUCCUCAAAUACUUUUCUCAUCAGAACUUCUGGAGGUCAAAAGGCAGUGGUCUGAGGACUGAAAAUUUUAAAGCUCUAGGGAACUGUCAAUCAAGAACCCCAUGUUGAGAAAGUAUCCUUCAAAGAUGAGGGAGAAAUGAAGAUACUGUGAGGUAAAAGCUGAGGUAGGGCUUGGCAGUAUAGUACUCAGCAUGCAUGAGACCCUGGGUUCAAUACCCACCUACAUAACCACUCGUAUCACCCCCAGACCUGCCAUCUAGCAAUACUAGCUGAAGUGACUGCAGGUUGAAAUGAGAGGACACUGGACUGCAAGUUGAAGCCAUGUAGGGAAAUAAAGAUCUGAAUAAAGAUAAAUAUGUAACUAUAAACAAA